rnacentral:lncRNA from 1 species
AUGAAUGAAUAGAAGGAUGCUUGAGUGAAGAAGUGUAGGAGUGAAUGAAGUUCACCUGGUCCUGGGGUUGCGGGGCAGGAAGCUUCUCCAGAGGGCCAGGGGGGCACAAUCCAACCUUGAGGCAGGGGCCUGGCCAAGAUGACCUUGGGAGAGGUUGAGGAGUGUAACUUGGGGGGAUAGGCCAGGGUCACUUUCCCCGCCCAUCCUUUAUGUAGGCAGCCCCGUGUCAUAGACCCCCUCUGUGUCCCCUGCUGCAGCAAAGUCUGAGAAGGUAGUUGCUGGGAGCUGUUGGCCUGGAUGGGCCCUCUACGCCCUGCUCGUGCCCCUCGGCCCCGGGGCCUGGGCUCCCGCUAUCCCAGCCAGGGCCUGGGCAGGCGGCGAUUUCGUCUCCGUCGCCUCCGACUGAGAACAACACCCCAGAGAAUGUUCAAGCCCAGCCGGCCGAGGUACCGGACCCAGUGUGGGAACGCUGCCAAUUUACUAACUUCCAGCUCCGCCUUUAGACAACUGUAUCAUCUGGGGAAACCACUCUUCUUCUGAGGAAAGACCCUUGUUUCCUGCGUGACUUGGCCACACAGAAACCCAGCCUUGGAGCAGCCAUUGAAUAUAUCUACUUCAGCCCUGUUGGUCUCAGCUUCCUUAUUUCCUUUGGGGGUGAUUCGGGGAACACAGAACUGAACUGCAGGCUGUC